UACGGGGGGGGCAAGCGUUGUUCGGAAUUACUGGGCGUAAAGGGCUCGUAGGUGGCCAACUAAGUCAGACGUGAAAUCCCUCGGCUUAACCGGGGAACUGCGUCUGAUACUGGAUGGCUUGAGUGCGGUAGGGGAGACUGGAAUUCCUGGUGUAGCGGUGAAAUGCGCAGAUAUCUGGAGGAACACCGGUGGCGAAGGCGGCAUCCUGGACCGAGAUUGACGCUGAGGCGCGAAAGCCAGGGGAGCAAACGGG
rnacentral:rRNA from 1 species